GUCAAAGGCCAAAACGCAACCUGUGUUUAGCUUCAGAGGCACAGAGAUUUCUAUCUCCCCACAGACCCUUGAGACACGGAGUGCUUUGAGGCGCACUUGGACUUUUCAGCAUGACAAUGACCCUACGCACAAGGCCAAGUUGACCCUCCAGUGGUUACAUCAGAAGGUGAAGGUUAUUUAGUGGCAAUCACAGUCUCCAGACCUUAAUAUCAAUGAGCCAUUUUGAGGAAAUCUCAAACGUGCAGUUCAUGCAAGACAACCAAAGACUUGAAAUUU